UGUAUUAAGAUAUCUUUGAUUUUUAUAUCAAAUUUAAGUUCCCCUUCACUAAUUUUUGGAUAUUUUGGCUAACUACUUUUGGCCACAAACCGAUCUUUUGUCGCGCCAAAGUUAAUGUACCAGCGGCACUUUUCCAAUCUCGCAUUUGAUGCGUUGGAUUCCACAUAUUUGGCCAGACUGAAAAAUAAUUUCAUGUUUAUGGCCACGUUGUUUUCACCGGCCACAAAAAUGCUUAUCGAACGGCUGAGAUCGCCAAGCGAGACUUUUGGCAUGUGCGAAAAUGUUUGUGGGAAGAAAUUGUGCACCUAACCCACACGUUUCACCUUCUGUUUGUUGAAAUAAUAAAUCUGAAGAAAGGUUGUUGUGUUUUUAAAGAC